GAACAUCGACAUUUUGAACGCAUAUUGCGGUCCAUACUGACUAGUUUCUUUAUUGAAGCUGUAUGGACCACACAUGGUUGAGGGUCGUUAGUUUACGCUAACUGAAUUGCUUUUUAAUUAAAGCUACAUCAUGAGGUGUUGUCAACCUUCAGUGUGUUGACAUCCCUUGAAAAUACCUUUGGUACACAAUUUUAUCUAUUGUGAAUGCUUGUUUUAUCAAAGAAAACAAAUAUCCAACGUCUCGAUCAUUUGAAUGAACGAUUUUGUACGGCUAGUAAACUUUGACUAAGCGUUUAAACAUAAUAGUUUACGUAUUUGAAUGCUAACCUGAACACUGUACAGAAUCAAUUCGUUAAUUUAUUCAAUGAAUCAGCAUGAGACACACACAAGUGCCUGGAUAUUUAUUCGUUAAUUUUCUUUGAAGCAAAAAAACAGUCCCAUCUUAAACGCGGGUGGCAUUCAAAACAAACAAUGGAUUCAAUUGAAUACAACCAAUAAAGCGACCUCAACUCAUGUGAGACU
rnacentral:rRNA from 1 species